ACGAGUGGAAGGGCAGAGUGCUGAUGUUCCUCACUGCAUGGUGGCGAACGUGAGUGUUCUUGUAUGAGCAGGAGUUUGCAGCUGAAUACCCCGAGUACUGUGCCAUAGAUGGCUGGCAGCACUAGAGUAAUAGCACUACUGGCAUACUACUCAGGUUAGCUUAAUUAAAUAAAAAAAAAGCUUUCAGUUGUACAUGAUGAAAUCAGUUGGAUGGGAAACCACAAAAGGAUAUACCUAUUAUUGUAGAAAUACUUCAAUACUUCUGAAAACAUGAACAGCAAGAACAUCGGCUCUACACAAAGAUUACUUUCUUACAGCUAUAAACACUAUAAAUUGGGAAGGGCCCAUUUCCUCCCAGCACAAUCCUCGCUAAGUAGAUGGCAAGCAACGGCAUGGCGCCUCUUAAAAACCGAUACAUAUUCAAACCCAAUGGCCUACCACCGCUACUACCCGGACCUUUACACGAAUUGAUGUAGAUUCUGUCAAGAAAGGGCAGACCUACACCAUAUGGUUUAGGCUUAUACUCAGAUACCCACGCAGAAUAAAAUACACAAGACCAGAAAGCAGUGGAAGACCGCGCAGCUCAGUUGUGCACCGGAAGACCAACUUAAGCGAAUCCAGCAGGCCGAAGAUGCCACCAUGGUCCAGGGGCUCGAGGCCAUCAUCUAGGUAGAGAGGCCUAGGUCUGAAAUCUGCUGUCCUAAAAUAGUUUAUUCCCCCUCCUCCUUAGAUCUAGGGCUGCACUUGUCUGCUUUCCACCAAUGCAGGCGUAUAAGUUCUAUUAUGCCCACCUAUCACUGUUUCUGGCAGGUUUCCAGAUAAAAAAAAUUUAUAUCAAGAAUUUUCCACAGAAUUUUCCACGUUACCUCUGUAUGGUUGGAUACACUGACCGGUCGACACCCCUGAGAAGGCUUCCUUGCAAGCUCGUGCAGCAAGACUUGCCUUUGAGCAGCAAAAGCGAAGAAAGGAGAUGAAAAGCCUGCGGCAUUCAAGGUGGCAUUUUCAAAAAGAGAAUGCUAAACUGAAAUCCGUUCUGAAAAAAGAAAACACACACAAUAUAUUUUAUUCGGAGAGCA